rnacentral:rRNA from 1 species
CCUACGGGAGGCAGCAGUGAGGAAUAUUGGUCAAUGGCCGGAAGGCUGAUCCAGCCAUGCCGCGUGAAGGUCAGUGCUCUUUGGGCGUUAAACUUCUUUUGUGCGGGAGCAAUAAUGGUCACGUGUGGCCAGACGAGAGUACCGUACGCAUAAGAAUCGGCUAACUCCGUGCCAGCAGCCGCGGUUAUACGGGGGAUGCAAGCGUUAUCCGGAUUUAAUGGGUUGAAAGGGUGCGUAGGCUGGGAGGUAAGUCAGCGGUGAAAUGCCCCCGCUCAACGGGGUGAAGUGCCAUUGAUACUGCCUUGCUGGAAUGCGGAUGACGGGAGAGGAAUGUGUGGUGUAGCGGUGAAAUGCAUAGAUAUCACACAGAACACCGAUUGCGAAGGCAUCUCACGAAUCCGCGAUUGACGCUGAUGCACGAAAGCGUGGGUAUCAAACAGGAUUAGAUACCCCUGUAGUC